CAGGAAGGGGCUCGCAGGCGCCCCGCACGCGUCUCGUCACUAUUGUUUAAUCGAGAAUCAGCAACGCCUCCCGCCGGUUUCCACCCUACGCCGGAAUGGACUUUCAGAACCCACUGCGGCCGCAAGACAGCCCGCAAGAGCUGGUCAAAAUGCCCUCAGAUGAAAAUACGAGUUCUCCGAUCGCGUUGGACCGGAGCGGGCCACGUCCGAGCUGCUUGCAGAGGGAAACCAUCGGAAAUAAUGAAUAGCCGCUCCAUGCAAAUUAUUCAGACAGUUUAGCGUCGGUAGCCGCGAGAAAUAUAUAAAGAACACGAGUCAAAUGACAUUAAUAAUUGUUUCUGAAUUCUGUAUUGAUUUCGCGGCAGGCCGC
rnacentral:lncRNA from 1 species